AUUGAACGCUGGCGGCAGGCCUAACACAUGCAAGUCGAGCGAGCGGCGGACGGGUGAGUAAUGUAUGGGGACUGCCCGAGAGAGGGGGAUAACUACUGGGAACGGUGGCUAAUACCGCAUACUAUCGGAUAACCCAUAUGGGAUUAGCUAGUAGGGGGGGUAAAGGCUCACCUACGCGACGAUCUCUAGCUGGUCUGAGAUGAGGAUCGCCCAAUCUGGGACUGAGACAGGGCCCAGACUCCUACGGAUGCAGCAUGGUGGAAUAGUGCAGAAGGGGCGAAAGCCUGAUGCAGACAUGCCGUGUGUAUGAAGAAGUCCUGAUGGUUGUAAAUGACUUUCAGCGGGGAGGCGUUACCCGCAGAAGAAGCAACGGCUAACUCCGGGCCAGCAGCCGCGGAAUUC
rnacentral:rRNA from 1 species